AAAAAAGGUAAGCUACUAAGAGCGAAUGGUGGAUGCCUUGACUGGUAAAGGCGAUGAAGGACGUACUAGACUGCGAUAAGCUACGGGGAGCUGUCAAGAAGCUUUGAUCCGUAGAUUUCCGAAUGGGGCAACCCAAUGUAUAGAGAUAUACAUUACCUAUAUAGGAGCGAACGAGGGGAAUUGAAACAUCUUAGUACUCUCAGGAAAAGAAAUCAAUAGAGAUUGCGUCAGUAGCGGCGAGCGAAAGCGCAAGAGGGCAAACCCAGUGCUUGCACUGGGGGUUGUAGGACUGCAAUGUGCAAGAGCUGAGUUUAGCAGAACAUUCUGGAAAGUAUAGCCAUAGAGGGUGAUAGUCCCGUAUGCGAAAAACAAAGCUUAGCUAGCAGUAUCCUGAGUAGGGCGGGACACGAGAAAUCCUGUCUGAAUCCGGGUCGACCACGAUCCAACCCUAAAUACUAAUACCAGAUCGAUAGUGCACAAGUACCGUGAGGGAAAGGUGAAAAGAACUGAGGUGAUCAGAGUGAAAUAGAACCUGAAACCAUUUGCUUACAAUCAUUCAGAGCACUAUGUAGCAAUACAGUGUGAUGGACUGCCUUUUGCAUAAUGAGCCUGCGAGUUGUGGUGUCUGGCAAGGUUAAGCAAACGCGAAGCCGUAGCGAAAGCGAGUCUGAAUAGGGCGCUUAGUCAGAUGCUGCAGACCCGAAACGAAGUGAUCUAUCCAUGAGCAAGUUGAAGCUAGUGUAAGAACUAGUGGAGGACUGAACCCAUAGGCGUUGAAAAGCCCCGGGAUGACUUGUGGAUAGGGGUGAAAGGCCAAUCAAACUUCGUGAUAGCUGGUUCUCUCCGAAAUAUAUUUAGGUAUAGCGUUGUGUCGUAAUAUAAGGGGGUAGAGCACUGAAUGGGCUAGGGCAUACACCAAUGUACCAAACCCUAUCAAACUCCGAAUACCUUAUAUGUAAUCACAGCAGUCAGGCGGCGAGUGAUAAAAUCCGUCGUCAAGAGGGAAACAACCCAGACUACCAGCUAAGGUCCCUAAAUCUUACUUAAGUGGAAAACGAUGUGAAGUUACUUAAACAACCAGGAGGUUGGCUUAGAAGCAGCCAUCCUUUAAAGAAAGCGUAAUAGCUCACUGGUCUAGUGAUUUUGCGCGGAAAAUAUAACGGGGCUAAAGU
rnacentral:rRNA from 1 species